rnacentral:tRNA from 1 species
GGUAGAAUGGCUGAGUAAGGCAUUAGACUGUAAAUCUAAAGACAGAGAGACAUCUCUUUCUAUCA